GUGAGCGGGCAACCACCUCCCAUUAUUAUCGCUCAAUAUUACCCGCAUCCGCCAUUAGAGGAAGGAAAUUAAGGAAGGAGAGGAUGGAGGAAGGAUUCGAGAAGGGGAGGAUGGAGGGAAAGUGGAGGAAAAGGAGGAGCGAGUGUGUUUCCGGGCUUGUGUUCCUCUCCUCGUGUGUGUUGCGGACCUGUCUUGCAUCGUAACUAUAGAGUCUUGAACCUCAGCGACGCGAGGCAAAAGGUAAGUA